GCUUCUCACUCCUCCUCUGCUCUUCAUCUCUCUCCUCUGCCUCGCCUCUCUCUUCAAAUCCUAUGUUUCUCCUCAUAACCACCAAAACCUCCCAUUCAAACGUAGUGAUUCCUCUGGAACUCCGAUCUUGGUUGAGCGUGCGAUUAUUCAGAUGGGAUGUGGAUCUAUGAUCCCGGUGUGAGAUCUGCGCCGUAUGAUCAUAAGGAGAUUUUCAAGGGAUGGAAUUGCAAUGCCAGUAAUAAAUCCAAUGGUUUGGAUAUUAUCAAGUGGCGUUGGAAGCCCAAAGGCUGUGGUCUUCCUCGGUUUGAUCCGGUUCGGUUUUUGGAGCGGUUCAGGAACACCAACGAUGGUGGUCUGCUGAUGCUAAUGGUGGCACAUUAGAAUCUCUUGGAUAUAAAGACGGUUUUCGAGUUGAUGUCGAUAUCCCAGAUGGUACAUGGGCUGAGGCUCCAAGCUUCCAUGAUAUUCUUAUCUUUAACACAGGACAGUGGUGUGGACAAUCGUACUGGCUAUGAGUUCGAAAACAGGAAUGCAGACACAUCUCACCUACGGAUUGCCAAUAAUGUUAUUACAUGGUGUCUCCAUGUGACAAAAAUGGUAGCCUCAUCCCAUACAAAUU